GUAGGUGAACCUGCGGAAGGAUCAUUACAAUUCAGUAGCUUGCUACUGGUCGGGAGUCGCUGUAAGUCCGCAUAGUUUAAUUACUGAUGAGCGGCAGGCACUCUGUCUGAACCCUUGUCUUUUGCGCACUCUUGUUUCCUCGGCGGGCUUGCCCGCCGAUUGGACAAAACUAUAACCUUUUUAAUUUUCAAUCAGCGUCUGAAAAAACUUAAUAAUUACAACUUUCAACAACGGAUCUCUUGGUUCUG
rnacentral:misc_RNA from 1 species